CACGUAGGGCGCAAGCGUUGUCCGGAAUUAUUGGGCGUAAAGGGCUCGUAGGCGGCCAACUAAGUCGGAUGUGAAAUCCCCAAGCUUAACUUGGGAACUGCAUCCGAUACUGGAUGGCUUAAAUCCGGGAGGAGGGAUGCAGAAUUCCAGGUGUAGCGGUGAAAUGCGCAGAUAUCAGGAGGAACACCGAUGGCGAAGGCAGGUCUCUGGGCAUUAACUGACGCUGAGGAGCGAAAGCAUGGGGAGCGAACAGG
rnacentral:rRNA from 1 species